AUUGAACUCUGGCGGCAGGCCUAACACAUGCAAGUCGAGCGGAGCGCCGGACGGGUGAGUAAUGCCUAGGAAUCUGACUGGUAGCGGGGGCUAACGUCCGUAAACGGCCGCUAAUACCACAUACCAUCAGUUGUGCCUCGGUGGGAUUAGCUAGUUGGUGAGGUAAAGGCCUACCAAGGCGACGUUCCGUAACUGGUCUGAGAGGAUGAUCAGUCACACGGGAACUGAGACACGGUACAGACUCCUACGGGAGGCAGCGGUGGGGAAUAUUGGACAAUGGGCGAAAGCCGGGUCCAGCCAUGUCGCGUGUGCGAAGAAGGUCUUCGGGUUGUAAAGCACUUUUAGCUGGGAGGCGGUACCAACAGAAUAGGCACCGGCUAACGACGUGCCAGCAGCCGCGGUAAUAC
rnacentral:rRNA from 1 species